GACGAACGCUGGCGGCGUGCCUAAUACAUGCAAGUAGAACGCUGAAGGAGGAGCUUGCUUCUCUGGAUGAGUUGCGAACGGGUGAGUAACGCGUAGGUAACCUGCCUGGUAGCGGGGGAUAACUAUUGGAAACGAUAGCUAAUACCGCAUAAUAGUAGAUGUCGCAUGACAUUUGCUUAAAAGGUGCAAUUGCAUCACUACCAGAUGGACCUGCGUUGUAUUAGCUAGUUGGUGAGGUAACGGCUCACCAAGGCAACGAUACAUAGCCGACCUGAGAGGGUGAUCGGCCACACUGGGACUGAGACACGGCCCAGACUCCUACGGGAGGCAGCAGUAGGGAAUCUUCGGCAAUGGACGGAAGUCUGACCGAGCAACGCCGCGUGAGUGAAGAAGGUUUUCGGAUCGUAAAGCUCUGUUGUAAGAGAAGAACGAGUGUGAGAGUGGAAAGUUCACACUGUGACGGUAUCUUACCAGAAGGGACGGCUAACUACGUG
rnacentral:rRNA from 1 species